ACGGAGGAUGCGAGCGUUAUCCGGAUUCAUUGGGUUUAAAGGGUGCGUAGGCGGACUAUUAAGUGAGUGGUGAAAUCCUGCAGCUUAACUGCAGAAAUGCCAUUGAUACUGAAAGCCUUGAGUUUGGUUAAGGAAGGCGGAAUUUGUAAUGUAGCGGUGAAAUGCGUAGAUAUCAGACAGAACACCAAUUGCGUAGGCAACUUACUGGGCCGUCACUGACGCUGAGGCACGAAAGCGUGGGGAUCGAACAG
rnacentral:rRNA from 1 species